rnacentral:rRNA from 1 species
GUACCCCGAGGAAAAGAAAUCAACCGAGAUUCCCCCAGUAGCGGCGAGCGAACGGGGAGCAGCCCAGAGCCUGAAUCAGUGUGUGUGUUAGUGGAAGCGUCUGGAAAGGCGCGCGAUACAGGGUGACAGCCCCGUACACAAAAAUACACAUACUGUGAGCUCGAUGAGUAGGGCGGGACACGUGGUAUCCUGUCUGAAUAUGGGGGGACCAUCCUCCAAGGCUAAAUACUCCUGACUGACCGAUAGUGAACCAGUACCGUGAGGGAAAGGCGAAAAGAACCCCGGCGAGGGGAGUGAAAAAGAACCUGAAACCGUGUACGUACAAGCAGUGGGAGCACAGAGCAAUCUGUGUGACUGCGUACCUUUUGUAUAAUGGGUCAGCGACUUAUAUUCUGUAGCAAGGUUAACCGAAUAGGGGAGCCGAAGGGAAACCGAGUCUUAACUGGGCGUUAAGUUGCAGGGUAUAGACCCGAAACCCGGUGAUCUAGCCAUGGGCAGGUUGAAGGUUGGGUAACACUAACUGGAGGACCGAACCGACUAAUGUUGAAAAAUUAGCGGAUGACUUGUGGCUGGGGGUGAAAGGCCAAUCAAACCGGGAGAUAGCUGGUUCUCCCCGAAAGCUAUUUAGGUAGCGCCUCGUGAAUUCAUCUCCGGGGGUAGAGCACUGUUUCGGCAAGGGGGUCAUCCCGACUUACCAACCCGAUGCAAACUGCGAAUACCGGAGAAUGUUAUCACGGGAGACACACGGCGGGUGCUAACGUCCGUCGUGAAGAGGGAAACAACCCAGACCGCCAGCUAAGGUCCCAAAGUCAUGGUUAAGUGGGAAACGAUGUGGGAAGGCCCAGACAGCCAGGAUGUUGGCUUAGAAGCAGCCAUCAUUUAAAGAAAGCGUAAUAGCUCACUGGUCGAGUCGGCCUGCGCGGAAGAUGUAACGGGGCUAAACCAUGCACCGAAGCUGCGGCAGCGACGCUUAUGCGUUGUUGGGUAGGGGAGCGUUCUGUAAGCCUGCGAAGGUGUGCUGUGAGGCAUGCUGGAGGUAUCAGAAGUGCGAAUGCUGACAUAAGUAACGAUAAAGCGGGUGAAAAGCCCGCUCGCCGGAAGACCAAGGGUUCCUGUCCAACGUUAAUCGGGGCAGGGUGAGUCGACCCCUAAGGCGAGGCCGAAAGGCGUAGUCGAUGGGAAACAGGUUAAUAUUCCUGUACUUGGUGUUACUGCGAAGGGGGGACGGAGAAGGCUAUGUUGGCCGGGCGACGGUUGUCCCGGUUUAAGCGUGUAGGCUGGUUUUCCAGGCAAAUCCGGAAAA